CACAUUUAAUUUUCUGAGGCAAUAUAUCUCCCUCUUUUCCUCCAUCUCAUCCCUGCCAAACAUCGAACAGAAACAGCAAAAAAAAAAGGUUGUUCUGUUUUUGCCUUCAGGUACAGUUUUCUGAUUAAAUUCUGUUUUUGACUUCAGAUGCAGCUUUUUGAUUUAAUGAAAGAAGAAGAGCUAAUUUGAUAUGUUAAUUAAAUCACUUAUUUGGGAUUUUGUUUGGGAUUUCUGAUCCUAACGGAAAAGAAGACCUAAUUUGAUAGCUAAAUUAAACUGCUUUUUUGAGUUUUUUUAAUUCUAACAAAGAAUAAGACCCUUAUUUUUGAGAUUUCAAAUUGGAUUCUGGCCGGCUAUUUUCAAGGUAAAUAGGUAACCACAUAAGUCAAAAUUAAUUUUAUGAUCUGUUUGUGUUAUAGAUUGAACAUGUGCUUGUGCUUUUUGGGUUUUUAGAUUUUGACCUAUAAUUUCGAAUUGGGUUUUUUGAAUAGAGUAAAUAAAUAACGUAAAGAACCUCAACAUGGUCAUUUUAUUUGGUUCAAUUUCUUGCUGGAUAGCAUUGUGCGAGACGCAUAUUGAUAAAGAAAAAAUUUAUUGCUUCCUGAAAGAACAAAAGAGUUGUAUGUAUUUUUAGGAUUACUUUUACAUUUCAUGGAUGGUUAUUCGGAAGAAGUUAAUUUGUGAGAAUAUUAUUUUUGGUUAUUUGUGUUUUUUGAAGAUGUGAGCCUCCUCUUUUUUCAAUUUGGAGAGAGCUUUCUUUCUCUAUCCAAGCAUGUAAUCGUACAUGUGAGGACUGACUGCAUUUCCAAAUACAACAUGCUAAUAAAAAAUCUAAUGCAAAAAGCACAGUUUCACGCGGAAAAGAAUAAUGCAAGACGCUAAACAAAAAGAGCAUAAAUGUGAGGCCUAGAAAAUUUUUUGUUUUAGUUAAAAUAUACUUGCCUCGGACAUAGAUACAGAGGGUAAAAAGUCCUGCAUAAUAGUAACCGAAAGAGAAGUUCUAUUAGUUUGGAAUCCUAAGAGAGUACUUCUCCAAUUCCUAAAAGGAAAUAGUUCGAUUAGAAGAACCACCAUGCAUAUAAACAGAACAAUCAUAAUUCAUAAGUCCUGGUCUCUUUUGAGUAUAGGGUAUAUUGUAAACAGUAAUUAGUCUUUGGCACCAAAGAAAGUCGAGAAGGUUGGAAAGCAAGGUGGUUUCACUGGAUAUGUUGUUGUAGUAAUUAUAAGUCAUGGAAAGGAGCAAAAUUCCAACUACAAUCGCCUGAUAAACUAGGUAUAUAUAGUUGCAGAAAUUUGACGACAUGUGCCUCUGAGAGGCCAAGGUAAAAACUAUAGAACAAAUCGAUUUUGAUGUUAAGACUGGGGGCUGGAAGGGGGACCGGGAAAGGGUACAAUUCAGAAGGAUAUGGAUGACAAUGUGCUGCUAGACAAUGUGCUGCUACUACACAAAUAUCAUUUGGUACAUACAAAAUUAUUCCAUAUAACAUGAGUCAAAAGAGAGACCAGUUUUAGCAUCUUGAUGAAAGGCAGAGCAUUAUAUAUCAAGCCAACUUCACUUGUGAUGCCACUAGGACACAGGAACAAGAAGGUACUUUAUCUGCACGAAUAAAAUCAAUACCCAAACAUCAUCUUUGAGGUGCAAUUUGUUAGAUUGUCUAUGGUAUGUUGCCUUCACUUAUGUUAUUUCUGUAAAGUUCGUGACUCUUUAUGUUUUUUUUAAGUUUAAUGUGUAUCAAUUAUCAAUCUAUUUUUUACUUAUUUCAAAUACAUAUUCUUCUUCUUCCUCUUUUGAAUUUAGUGUUAAUAUUCUUCUAAAAUUUGUAGAGGUGCAUUUAAAAACAUAUCUCACCUCACUUUUGUGCUUAAAAAUGUAGUCGUCUCUAAAUUUGAUGUUUAAUAUAAUUUCUAGCUCAAAACAUUACACUCAAUGGGCUUUCUUGGUUUUAGUAUCAAGAAAAUGUAAUAGUGAUAGUCGGUAAUCUCAUAAUUCACCUAUUUAAUCCAAUGUCAAAGUUUGUCUGUACAUUUUUUGCGAUUUAUUCAGCAGAAAACUAUCGCUAAAGAAUCUAACUUUAGAUGCUUUUAAAGUUAUUGAUUUUAAGAAAACUGAAGCUUAUUAAGUAUCAGGGUGUAUUGUACGCGGCCUUACCUUGCAUUAGACUAAUUAAAAAUCAAAUGCUUAGGAACAACAUCAUUGGAAUGUGUCUUCUUAUUUGCCUCGACCUAUAAUAAUGAAACUUCUACAUUAUUAGCAAUCCAAGCCAAAAAAUGCAUAUAUGGAUUGUUACUGUUCUCGAAAUAUUUACUUUGCUAUUUUCCUUUUUUUGGCCAAACAGCAGUUAAUGACUUGAUUAAGUACCUUUUUUUCUCAUCUUAUCUUCAAGGCUCCUUGGGUUUUGGUGAAGAAGCACUCCAAUUUCUUCCAGGCAAAAUUGGAUCAUAGGAUGUUAAUGAUGUACAAGCUGCUAUAGAUCAUGUCAUAGAUAUAGGACGUGCAGUUCCAUCUAAAAUAAAUAUGCUUGGUAGUUCCCUUGGUGGAUUCCUGACAAUACACUUGAUUGGCCAGGUCAAAACUCCUAUACUCUUCUUGCUAGGUGCCAAGGACCUCCGUGUACCAAUAUAGACAAGCUUAGAGGAGCAGAUAAGAAAAAGAUGGAGAGACAGGACAAGAGUGGCAGAAAGAGAAACAAAAACUGCUCUGCGAAAACCAAUAUGAGGAAGAGAGGUAUUAGCGUGACUAAAGGCAUGAGAUGGAACAAAUAGAAGUUUUUGCAGAAAGAGUCUAUGGAAGCAAAAAGAAUGGGACUUAAAGAAGAAAUGCGCUGAGAUUAAAAGGUUGCUAGCUUUAAAGCGGCUAAUGUAAUGAAUUGCCCGAAGAAUAUUGGCGAAAGAAUCAAUAGUGGUAAGGAUGCUGGAACAUGAAAAUGGAUUGGGAAAACAAUUUAGCAACAGUAAGUAUACAUUCAAUCAAAGAUUUGAUGAUCCAUUACUGCAUUGAUUUGCUUCACCAGACCCAAGGCUCUUUCAUAAACAACCUCUCUAUCUCCUUCAAAGAAGUAGGGGUAAGGGCUACAUAUGAUGCUGGAACAUGAAAAUGGAUCAAGAAAACAACUUGGUAGAAGAUUGACAUGAAAUCCUUGGCAGAAUCACUGAGAUAUCACAUGAAGAGAGACGUCAAAAUUUUGACUGUGAAUGACGGAGGCGUUGUUUACUAUUGAAGCAGAACGGUGACUGGAAAUUAUUUGUAUCAUACUACAGAGGUGUUCAGUGAUGAAAAUCCAAAUGGUUCCAUUGUUCUGUGAACAAUUCUGUCACUGUCCAGACCCAAGGUGGAUGCUGCAUCUGUAUUUGCUCGAUGGCUUAUUUCUGAGUUCUUGGAGUGUCCUCUAGUAUGUAUGAUUAAUAAUGUGCAAGUAAUGAACAAGUGGCAGGAGGUGCUUAUAGUGUCGUCGUCGUGUUAUUGACGUUUUGUCGACUCUAAUCUAUGUUUGAGGGGAAAACUCGAAUAACCGGGGGACCUAUGCUAGCAAGGCAACAACCAUAGAUGACUUGUGUGCGUAACUGAUGAACUUUAAGCUAUUACACAUUAUAUUUUCAGGGAUUGUAUCUUCUUGUUUAAUCAUAUUUGAUAGGAAUAUGUUGACCUUUUUGUUUGAGAAUUAAUACUCUGCGAAUCAUUGUCCCAUUAGUUGAAGAGGUUUCUCCAUUGUGGUGUAAUUGUGAUUACCAAAAAGUAUUAAGGACUAUCCUAUAAAGCUUGGAGGAUGUUCGAAUAAUCUAUUUCUCGAAAUAUGCUAAUUUGAUAUGUUAAUCUUUUGUUAAA